rnacentral:rRNA from 1 species
CCUGCCUCAAAGUGGGGGAUAGCCUUCCGAAAGGAAGAUUAAUACCGCAUAAUAUAAGAGAAUCGCAUGAUUUUCUUAUCAAAGAUUUAUUGCUUUGAGAUGGACCCGCGGCGCAUUAGCUAGUUGGUAAGGUAACGGCUUACCAAGGCAACGAUGCGUAGCCGACCUGAGAGGGUGAUCGGCCACAUUGGAACUGAGACACGGUCCAGACUCCUACGGGAGGCAGCAGUGGGGAAUAUUGCGCAAUGGGGGAAACCCUGACGCAGCAACGCCGCGUGGGUGAUGAAGGUCUUCGGAUUGUAAAGCCCUGUUUUCUAGGACGAUAAUGACGGUACUAGAGGAGGAAGCCACGGCUAACUACGUGCCAGCAGCCGCGGUAAUACGUAGGUGGCGAGCGUUGUCCGGAUUUACUGGGCGUAAAGGGUGCGUAGGCGGAUGUUUAAGUGGGAUGUGAAAUCCCCGGGCUUAACCUGGGGGCUGCAUUCCAAACUGGAUAUCUAGAGUGCAGGAGAGGAAAGCGGAAUUCCUAGUGUAGCGGUGAAAUGCGUAGAGAUUAGGAAGAACACCAGUGGCGAAGGCGGCUUUCUGGACUGUAACUGACGCUGAGGCACGAAAGCGUGGGUAGCAAACAGGAUUAGAUACCCUGGUAGUCCACGCCGUAAACGAUGGAUACUAGGUGUAGGGGGUAUCAACUCCCCCUGUGCCGCAGUUAACACAAUAAGUAUCCCGCCUGGGGAGUACGGUCGCAAGAUUAAAACUCAAAGGAAUUGACGGGGGCCCGCACAAGCAGCGGAGCAUGUGGUUUAAUUCGAAGCAACGCGAAGAACCUUACCUGGACUUGACAUCCCUUGCAUAGCCUAGAGAUAGGUGAAGCCCUUCGGGGCAAGGAGACAGGUGGUGCAUGGUUGUCGUCAGCUCGUGUCGUGAGAUGUUAGGUUAAGUCCUGCAACGAGCGCAACCCUUGUUAUUAGUUGCUACCAUUAAGUUGAGCACUCUAAUGAGACUGCCUGGGUAACCAGGAGGAAGGUGGGGAUGACGUCAAAUCAUCAUGCCCCUUAUGUCCAGGGCUACACACGUGCUACAAUGGUAGGUACAAUAAGACGCAAGACCGUGAGGUGGAGCAAAACUUAUAAAACCUAUCUCAGUUCGGAUUGUAGGCUGCAACUCGCCUACAUGAAGCUGGAGUUGCUAGUAAUCGCGAAUCAGAAUGUCGCGGUGAAUACGUUCCCGGGCCUUGUACACACCGCCCGUCACACCAUGAGAGCUGGUAACACCCGAAGUCCGUGAGGUAACCGUAAGGAGCCAGCGGCCGAAGGUGGGAUUAGUGAUUGGGGUGAAGUCGUAACAAGGUAGCCGUAGGAGAACCUGCGGCUGGAUCACCUCCUUUCUA